rnacentral:rRNA from 1 species
UACGAAGGGUGCAAGCGUUACUCGGAAUUACUGGGCGUAAAGCGUGCGUGUAGGCGGCUUGGCAAGUCGGGUGUGAAAGCCCUGGGCUCAACCUAGGAAGUGCACUCGAAACUGCUUCGCUUGAGUGCCGGAGAGGAAAGCGGAAUUCUCGGUGUAGAGGUGAAAUGCGUAGAUAUCGGAAGGAACACCGUGGCGAAGGCGACUCGUGGACCGA